UUUCGCCGCGUUACCGGUGGGUAUGUCAGUGUAAAGCGUUCUCACCAGACCAGCUUGUGUCAAACUAGACAUUAACACAUCACACCCGGUGACGCACCUGAAAAGAUUAAAUAGGUACCAUAGAAGUUUGGAGUGACUCACUUGAGGAAUAGUCACGAUCAGCCAAUGCAGAGCAUCAUGUGGAAAUCAAAGAAAGAAGAAACAAUUGAAAAGCAAAUGGGAAUUGCAUGUCACAACUAGAAGACGUAUGACGCACCACAUUUACAUAUUCUCCAUAGUAUCUACAAAGACAAAGGAAUGGUA